rnacentral:misc_RNA from 1 species
UCGUGGAGCUGCGGCUCCUUCGAGGGAGAACCCUUGCCUUUUCGAGCACCUGUUUGUUUCCUCGGCAGGCCCGCCUGCCAAUGGGGACCCCUUAAAACCUUUGCAAUAACCUGUACCGAUAAACGUCUGAAUUAAAAGAAUCUAAAUCA